rnacentral:tRNA from 1 species
UGGCUCAGUGGUUAAGAGCACUGGCUGCUAUUCCAGAGGUCCUGAGUUCAAUUCCCAG